CGACGGUCCCGCACCGCUUCCGGCAGCGCUACGGCGCCACCUGGCGGCGGAAUCGGGCGGGCGGAGCGGGGAUCACCGCGCUUCUGGUCUCCAGAGCCAAGGAAGGAGCAGCCAUCGGCACUCACGAGACUCUUAUUUUGCCUUGCCCGGAGUAACAGCGCCUGACCGUUUCCAGAAGUUUGUCCUCGUGUUUUCAUGGCCGUGCCGUGGGAGGACUGCACGCAGCUAUAAUUCUUCAGGAUUCUGUCACAGAGUCAUAGAAUCAUUGAGGUUGGAAAAGACCACGAAGAUCAACUACCCCAACCAUCAGUCUGUCAACCUCACCGUGCCCACUGACCACGUCCCUCAGUGCCACAUCCACGCUGUUCUUCAACACCUCCAGUGAUGGUGACUGCACCACCUCCCUGGGCAGCCUGUGCCACUGCAGCACCACUCUUUCUGAUAAGAACUUCUUUCCUAAUAUGCAACCUGAACCUCCUCUGGCUCAACUUGAUGUCAUUACCUCUGGCUCUAUCACUGUUACCUGGGAAAAGAGGCCAACCCCCACCUCACCGCAUCCUCCUUUCAGGUCACUGUAGAGAGUGAUGAGGUCUCCCCUGAGCUCCUCUUCUUCAUACUGAACAACCUCAGCUCCCUCAGCAGCUUCUCAUGAGACUUGUGCUCCAGACCCUUCACAGCUCCAUUGCCCUUCUCCUGACAGUUCAGGGCCUCAAUGUUUUAUUGGAAAGGUAAAAAAAUAUAUAUAUUCUCAGUUACCUUCAGAGCUUCACAGGUGACAGUGCUGUGCACCACAUCCUUGCUGCAUGUUAUAAAGGUUAUUAAAUUUACUGUGCCCUCCAUGGUAACUCACUCUGUUAGUGUCAGUAUGAAGAAGCUUCCAGCCAAGGUUUCAUCACCUGUUGUGCACUGCCAACAUUUUCUCCUCAUAAGUGUGGUCUUCCAUCAGUGUGCCAAAGUACCGCCCUGGAGGAAAAUAAUCUUUAGUGACUUGCUGGUACUUCCCUCACCUCUACCACAUGUUCAAGCAUAGAGCUAUUAAUGCUGGUAGGGAACACCUCCCUGACACUCACUGCUGUCACAUUAUGACAGUGGAAGUGAUGGUCUGAGUUUCUGGGUGAACAAACUGAGGUUUGCCUUGAGAAUUCAGCUAUGUGUGCAGGUUAUGAAAACAAAAACAUUCAUUCUUGUAAAUAAUAAAGACAUAGAUACAGAAAUUGACUAAAAUGUGCUUAAGAUAUCAAGCUGGGAGACAGAACAUCGAAGUCAAGUAGAAUAUAAUUCAAGAAAAACUGUAUGACUUCAAGGCCUGAAAUAAUAAUUAGUAGAGAGUGAGAGGUGGUGCAUUUACACAGAGUGCUACAUAUUCCCAUGUAACACUAAUGUGAUAAAACCAUUAAGAGCCAAGUAAUCUUCAUAGAAAUUCGUAAGGUAUCAGCCAAGGUAUUCCUGUAGAUAAAUGGAUGUAAAUUGUACAGGUCAUGUACAAAUGAUGAUGAAAUUGUGUCUGUCUUCAUAAAAUACUCAUGUUCAAGUAAUAUACAUCUAAACUGGAACAUAUGUACAAAAAGGAACAAUAAGACCCAGCCUUCUGAUGAGACACUAAAAGGGUUCCGUAUGUUCACAUUAUAUGAACGGAGAUCAGAAUGUAACUUAAACUGAAUUCUGUGGUGUCUCCACAUGAAAGAGAAAGAAAAACAUAGAAAGAAAGAGAAUAAAAGGGAAAAAUGAAUAAAAAAAGGAAAAGAAACCAGGAGAUGUGUACACAUUCAAAAAUCAGACAUUAGGUCAGGGACCUUACAACUUUUCAUCUGGCUUUAUUAGCAUGUCUCUAGCAGGGCAGAGCUUGGGACAAAUUCCUUUUCACAUUUUAUCUAAUUCAAUGCUUAGACGGUUUUUCUUCCAGGUAACUAUCUUCUUAUUUUUGUCCAAGGAUGGGUUACAUAACUUUCUUAAUAUUCUCCAAUUGCUUUACAAGAAGAUUAACCUAUAUAUUCUGCUUGGAGCAAUAAAUUCCACUAGGUGUCAGGGUAACUAAAAAUUACAGGCUGCAAUUAUAAUUAAGCAUAUACUUAAGGGCCUUGCCAAAUCACUACCUGUGUAAACCCAUGGACUCUUAGAAUAAUCUAGAUAACUGUACUUGUAUUUGUACUAGCUUGAAGAUGCAUGUAGCAACACUUAAAGCAAAGUCACACCUUUCAUUGAAUAUGAAGUAAUCUGACUACAAGUCAAAUAAUUAUAAAGCAUAUUUCAUCUGGUUUCUGAUUUUUCUGCAAGUUGCCUUCACCAUCUUCUAUAUCUUAAACCUCAGCAUGCUCUCUGAAGUCUAUAGUUAGGUCUUCUUUUCAAGAUAGGGGUAAGACCUAUUUUCAAAUGAAAGUACUUAUUGGUUCUUCUGAAUGAGACUGAAGAUCCUGUAAGCCUCGAGCUGUUGCUAUUCUUCCUCUCCUACCUUAGGAAAAUAGGGUACUGCUCACCCUUUUGUUCUCUUAGAAAAGCUGAAGUAUUGUGGAGUGAUUUUUCCCCAAAUCUUUACUUUUUUAUUUACUGGAAAGGGAGAAGAGUAAGAGCUUAUCAUGUGAGGCAAUAACGUAAUUAUCUGUUUUGAGACAGGACCAAGAGCAAUCAACUUAAACGCUUAAGCAUCUCUGUUAGCCAAGAAUAAUAUUCACUGCACACUCCUCAAAUCUUGCUCUAAAGAAAAGAGAAUUAACAUCCUCAAAGGCUUUCAGUGUUCAUUGCUGUACAGUCUGUUCUGCAAGCUUGGAUAUAUCUUGGAGCGUCUUUGUGAAGUUGUGUUAUCAAGCACAAAGGCAGAGAUAAAACUCUGCAAGCUUUAUGCGUUCUACUUUAGGACUAAUUUUUCACAGUACAGGAGCUAAGCAGCAAUACUCUGAAGGCUCAGGAUUUUGCUCUUAGACGCUUCAUCUACAUUUGUGAAUGCUCAGAACUUCUGAGCAGUGUGCCAAGUCAGACAACAAAAAUAAAGUACAGAAUGGUGAUGACUUACCCAUGGAAAGUUUGUGUGAAGUGAUUUGGCCAACAUUGUGUAAGUUGUGCAUGAUAGGCUAAUUUAUAUUCGCCUAUUGUAAUUAGGCAUCCAUUCCUGGCCCACUCACAACAGGUCUCUUGCAAAAGAAAUGUGAAAGAUCUGCACAGUUGUGAACGGGUUCACCCAACACAAUUGAAGGAUGGAGGGGAGAAAAAGAGGCCAGACAUUUCAGCUUUAACUCGGUUGUAAUGCUCAGGAAGCCUUUAACUUCUGAGUUUCUGCAUUCUUAACAAUGUUUCAAUGUAUGUACUUUGUACAAAUAUUUUAUUUCCUACAUAAAACUACAUUGUUAACAUACAGAAUAGCAGUCGAAUAUGCGAAACAUUGAACAGACGUCAUUCCACCUGCAGCCCUCCUCUACAGCUCCUCACCAAAGCCUAUUAAGGUUUCUCUGCUGCAGUUGCAUGUUCAUUUACUAUGUUAACAUACUUAAGGACUUGCUCCUCUAGGAAGUCAUUUCUUUUCCGAUGCUCCUGGGAACCAACAGAGGAUGUUUUAGAGGGGUAGGGCCUUAACAGCAGUCAAAUCAUACUGGUGAAUUUGUCAGUACUUUGAAGAGCUGUAUUAUUACUUUCUCUGGAAAGGAGAUGAGAGACAACAGUAGGGUGUUCUAGGCCUUCUAUGUCCUUCCCCCAAAAUACAUGUUAAUAUACUAAUAUACUAAAUUUAAUCAUCUAUGCUUCUGAAGCCCUCUUUAAAGCAGGAACCUCGGGCAUAUUGGGAUAAGUAGUUCAGUACAGCACAGUGAAUUUGUUAGCUUUACUAUCUAUCAAUACAGUGAUUAAAUCAUCAUCAGUCACUCAGGACAUCUUGAAUGGACUACCAUCUGCUCUCCAGAAUUUAGGCUUUUAUUAAAGCGAAAAUCACCUGUAAAGUUUUGGAUUCAUUCACAGUAAAACCCCUCAUAACAACUGAGAACUUGGUCAUUUAAACUGGAAGACGGAAGCUUUAGAUGUAUUAGAAAGAAAUUCUCUCCUGUGAGGGUGGUGAGACACUGGAACAGGUUGCCCAGGGAGGUUGUGGUUGCCCUCUCACUUGAGGCAGUCAAGGCCAGGCUGGACGGGGCUUUGAGCAGCCUGGUCUAGAGGGAGGUGUCCCUGCCUAUAGCAGAGGGUUGGACCUACAUGAUCUUAAAAGUCCCUUCCAACCCAAACCAUUCUAUGAUUGUAUAACACAACAGAGUAAAAUAACAGUCACCAGUCUGUAUUCUCUUGUUCAGAAGAAUCCUGUUUUGUCUCACUGUUUACAGAGAUCAUAGAAUCAUAGAAUCAUGGACUGGCCUGGGUUGAAAAGGACCACAAUGAUCAUGUAGUUUCAACCCCCCUGCUAUGUGCAGGGUCGCCAACCACCAGACCAGGCUGCCCAGAGCCACAUCCAGCCUGGCCUUGAAUGCCUCCAGGGAUGGGACAUCCAUAGCCUCCUUGGGCAACCUGUUCCAGUGUGUCACCACCCUCUGAGUGAAAAACUUCCUCCUAGUAUCUAACCUAAACCUCCCCUCUCUCAGUUUAAGACCAUCCCCCCUUGUCCUAUCACUAUCCACCCUCAUAAACAGCCACUCCCCUUCCUGUUUACAUGCUCUCUUCAAGUACUGGAAGGCCACAAUGAGGUCUCCCCAGAGCCUUCUCUUCUCCAAGCUAAACAAUCCCAGUUCCCUCAACCUUUCCUCAUAGGAGAGGUGCUCCAGCCCUUUGAUAUCUUAGUGGCCCUCCUCUGGACCCGCUCCAAGAGCUCCAUAUCCGUCCUGUACUCAGGGAGAUCUUUGUCUUUGAUAAGACUCUCUCCCACAGAGAUCACCCCCCCCCCAGAGGUCAGCAUCAGUUUCUGGAAGAUGAUUUUAGACCCUGAUGUUGUACAUUGUAGUGAAUUAUCUCUAAAUUAGUUUGUAGCUCCAUGAGUGUAUGCACUCUCAUUAACUGCACCUAGUGAGAUUUCAUUCAGUACUGAAAAAAAAAAAAAAGAAAGAAAAAAGAAAAAAAAAAAGGAAGAAAGAAAAAGAAAGUUUAAAUUUGAAAAUCCUGCUGAGGAGUGACUGCAUUGCUCCCUACCUGAAAAGACACUGCAGUGAGGAGGGUGUUGAUCUCUUUUCUCAGCUGGCAAAUAAUACUGAUGUUAUUGCACUUCUACGGAACAGGAGCAGUUCUCCUAUUUUUAUUUCAUAUUCUUUCUGAUCUCAUUAGAGUUGCUUGGAAAGGAAAGAGUCUUGUGUUGUGCCAGAAAAGUUUUAGACUGCAUAUCAGGAAGAAUUUCUUCAUGGAGAAGGCAUUGGAGUAGGCUGCACUGGGAAAAAAAAAAGAAAUGGAGUUGUCAUCCUUGAAGGUAUUUAAAAAACAUGCAGAUGUGGUACUGGGGGACAUGGUCUAGGGAUGGGACUCAGAAGGUCAGGUUGAUGAUUGGAAUUAAUUAUCUUGAAGGUCUUUUCCAACCUAGAUAAUUCUGUGAUUCUACAAUCUUUUCUCCAUUUUCUCCAAGAACUGAGAAUCCACAUUUUCUCAUUUAAAGAAGAAAAAGCUUUGCUCUGCUCCUUGAAGGCACUGCCAUGCCCUAGUCUCAUCAGAGUUGCUAAGGAGCACAAAUCUUUGUAACUGAAGAGCCAUGGAGGACACUGGCAGAGGCCGAAUAAGGAUGAAGAACACUGUUACAACUGGGGAAAAAGAAAAAAAAAAUCUCAAAAGGGAUCAGCCAAAAUAUUUAGGUUUUGUAAAAUUACAUUUUGUUUGUUAGAUUUGUAUCAACUUGAAACAAACAGUUCAGUCAUAAAGAGGUUUCACAACGUUACCCUGAAGCAUUUGUAACUGAUCUCUGGGGCUAUUUUAAAGGUUGGUGUCAUGGAACUCAGAAGAAAGUUUAUGGAAGGGGCAAACACUAAGGCCAACUAUGUGCUGAGUAAGCUUGGUAUAAACAGGAAGAGAUAGUUGAAAAUCCCAGAUUUAGCAAUAUGCUGUGGUAGAGACAGACCAAUCAACAUCCUGAAACUGAUCAGAGAUCUCAGUUCUGGAAAAUCUAGUUUAAUGUAUGAAAAUAAGAUCUGCUUUUUGAGGGGAAAAAAAAAAAAAAGAAAAGAAGAAGAAGAACAAUAUUUUUAAUAGACUUUUCUAGCACCAACCAAAUCCACUCAGUUUAGAAUCUGUUUUCUUUCAUUCCUUUGCAUCCUGGCUGAAAGUAAGGUGAUGAAUUUCAUGACUUCCUUUCCUCCUCAGCAAACAACUGUGUUCUAAGUCAUAGUCACUUACUGUGUCCUACUAAGAAACCUUCAAAAGCACUUCUCUCAGAUGCCAAUGCUGUGUAAAAAGCUACCAUUUUAUUUUGAAUGAUUGCCUUUCCCCUGAAAACAUGUUCUGUUUUUUGUUUGUUUGUUUGUUUGUUUUGUUUUGUUUUCCCCCUAAAAAUGCAGUGUUAAAUUAAAAUGAUAGCUACAAAUUCACACACUACCGGCUUCAGGAUGUUGACUACUUCAUUCAGAGCACAAAACCACCGCAGAAUGACUCAUCUGCAGCUAAAUAAUCUCUCUCUCUUGUCACUGGUAGCCCACAGCAGUCUGCAGCUUGUGCUUUCCGGAAGCUAAGAUUUACCCCAUUAAUGCCUUUGUUUUGAAAACCAUCACUUUUAAAGCUAUACAACAAAAAUAGGGAGUAAGUGAAUUAAAAACAUACCUUUUGAGAUCUAAUCUUCUCCAGAAAUUCUGGACUAAAGCUUACUCAAUCUCAGUCUUGUUGGGAGAUAUCAGUCCAAAUCUGACUACUCUCAGAUAGAAAACUAUACAGCUGUAACUCAAGAGUUACCUCUCCUACUUCUUAAUGGACUUUACAAUAGUUUUGACAUGUCUGCUCUUUUUUGAGAGUGGAGAAGACUUUAUCUGUUUUGUGGUUAGACAUCUGGUUAGAUAUAGCAGUCUAGCUAACCAUAUAGGAAACCAAAACAAACUGAGCAAUAUAAAGUAUAUUUUCUCAUCUUCGGUAGUACCUGACAACUAUGUUGAAACAUACUGCUUGUCUGAAAUAUUAAUGCAAUAUCAUAAAUCCCUCACAGCAUAACUGAUUGCAGAUUGCUGUUUUUAUUGCCAUUCCUGAAUUUAUAUCACAUGUGAGAAUAGAUUAUACGUGCUUCUGUUACUGAGAAGGUUGCAGAACUUUGACAUGUGACUAAGAAUGAAGGGAAGAGGUACCACAAGCCAACCUGAACCCUUCAUAAAGCCUUCUGCAGAAGUCACAGGUAGUGUUUCCAAUUCCUCCUGUAAAUGUCCAAUUGUGGCAGAACCUAUGUCUGGCAACUUCUUUGCUUUUUCCAGCCAUUAACAUCUUUACCAUAGUGCUGCCCAGCUGCCACAUAACUACUGCACCUUCUUCACCCUAUUUAACCACCCACUGCUUUUCUUUAAGCAACAAACUUCCUCUUCUCCCUCUGUUCCCUGGGAAGAUGUAGUUUUGCUUAGGAGCAGCCCUAAGUCUGUGAAUUCCAAAGGAUAUGUUGUUACAGAGGAUCUCUCUAGAUAUCUGGAUCUAGUUACUUGUAUAUAAGCCCCAGAAAUAAUCUCUAAAUUCAAAUUAUAAGGCCUUGUUUUUGUAUUAUAAACAUUCUCCUCUCACAGAUGUUUUAGAGCUUUUUGUUUCUCUUUUACACUGGAAACACUCUCAAGUUUAAGGAAAAGGUGAAACCACAAGGAGCUAUAAGUAUUCAUAUAUGUAUAUAUAUCUAAUUGUGUUCCCAAUUUUAUUUGGGGCUUUUGAAUGUCUGUGCAUUACAGCCAGAGGAUGCCUGGGACAGAUUUUUUACUCACAUUUAAAAAGUACAUAUGAUGUCAGAGAAAAAUCACUUGGUCUUGCUGUAGUGUUUGCUAAAGGAUUGUCAGGUGUUGGUAAUAAUUUUUAAGCAUUCAACGAUCAAGGCUGCUGAAAUACUAACAGUUUUAUUCCUUGUGCUUCUGUAUAGCAAAAAAACAGAUUUUGAAAAUGAACCAAAGUACUGUGCUUCUCUUUUGUUCAAGCUGCAGACUUCCAUUGCUGUCGUGUUCUCAUUUCACUUCUCUUCCCUCUUCCAGUAAGUUCUUUACCAGAUUAGGGAAGAAGAAGCUACUGUAACAAUUCUCCACAGAAUCUGUCUGAAAACUAACCAAAGGUAAUGGAGACCAACCUAUCCAGGAAGGGAGUGCUUUCUAAGAAGGUCUUUUGUGUUCCACAUCACUUUACAGCAAAUGAUCUUGAAAUUAAAAAUUGCAGACAGCAUUUUCUCAUUUUUAUUUAGAUCUCCUUCAGAAUCUAAGUUCAGCUAUGCUUCUUGCACACCCUUAUUUUUAAAUAACUUUCUUGUAUAUGCAACUUACACGAUUUAUUUAGAUUUCUGUUUAUGACCAAUGUAAAAACAGGGGAAUGGGACAUAUUCUGAACGUCUGUCUUCUUCUUUGACUUAUUUAACUACCAUAACCUAAGUCUUUUGAGCUAGAGAUCACUCUGAUGUCUACUACUUGCCCAAACACACUGCUUUCCCAAGAACGGCCCUUAAGAGCACAGCAGCUGUGCAUGCAGACUUCUCAGGCAGCAUGGAGGUUCAGAUCACAAAGUGGAAGGACUGAAAGAAAUCAGUAUCAAGGCCAUAUUGAUGGAACAAAGACCAUAGCAGCAUCUAUUUCAGCUCCUCUCCGAGGAAACGAGGACUAUUUACAAGCCAGUCCAAAUCCUUCUCAGCCCCUUUGUUUAAAUACUAGAAUUGAUUCAGAAGACAAAAAAUGGUCUGUGUUUGACAGACACAAAUACCAGAGAAGUGAAGCAUGCAAAUAUUCAACACCCUUUUUUUUAUCAAUAGUCUGAGUUAAAUGCUUAUGUAGCUAGAAAAUGUGACUGCCCAGCUGUAGCUUCAGAGUCUGGCCUUUCAAACCAGCCCUUCCACCCAAGUUAGUUCUAGCUAUGCAUAUUUCUGCUAGAAAGAGAAUGCCUGCCAGUGACAAAUAAAUAGUGUUCAUAUCAACAGUUCAAAGAAGUCCAUGGAGUACACACCCACAAGACAGUAGGUGUACAUUCAAGUAAUAAGCACAUUUUGGGGGAUCAAAAUACAGUUAUGGUCUUUAAGAGGAGCAGAAUGGGAAGACAGGUUUAGAAAUCAGUGUAUAAACAGCCUCAAAUUGGAGAUGCCAAGGUAAAGUUUAUUCUAGGACAAAAUAUUUUAAAAAACAGUGAGUACUUCUUGGGUGACAGAACAAGGCCAUGAGCGUCUUACAGGAAUUUAAUUCAGAAGGUAAUGUGAUAAAGAAAAUACUAUUAUAUUUUUUUUAUAUUCAUUACGUAUGUAAAUAUGCAGUGAAUUUAAAACCCACGGAGAGAAGACUGCAAAUGAAAUAUAAGUGGGAAUACAACUACCACCAGCAUAAUCUAUUUUGGAUCUCUUGCAUGCUUUCAACUCACACACACAUCUUAUUAUUUGCACAUCCUGUCUUUAUUUUCCUAAUAACUCUAAUACAAUAUUACCCUGACAAAUGUAAAUUUAUAUCAAUGUUUUAAAUAUAUUUAGGAAGUAAUUCAAUAAUUUUGUUAAAUCCAGAGCAAUAACAUUAAAGACCAUGUUUUCAUGCUGGUGGUGCUUUAAUAUAAUUUGUCCCAAGCACAAUAAAUCAAAAUAUGUUCUCUGAAAUACCAUACUAAUGUUCUCAAACACAGUAGAUAAAAUGUCUCCUCCUCAACUUUGUAAGUAACCUGUUUUUAUUACUCCUUGCAAAUGCUAAUGAUUUUGUAAAGAACAAUGUAAAAAUACCACUGGCAAAACCAAUUUAAAUAUCACUGCUUACAAAUCUUGUGCUCUAACUACUUCCUGCAAUAAAUGUAUCACAUGAGCAAUAAUAAAUGUUUACAUAGCAACAAAGUGCCUUUGCUAGUGAUCAUCAAACAGCAAGCUGCCACCUGCUUUCAGACCAAAUAAUGCCUGGGCAUUGCAAAAAGUCAUGUGAAGAAUUUAAGUACUCAACUCUCACUUGAGAGUGAGUUAUUUGCUACUUACAGAAAUAGAGCCAGUAUAGUUUUGCAGAACAGGGGAUGAAAAGUUUUACAUUUUUCCAACAGUGUCCCCUACACUGCUCAUUGACAUUUAGGUGAUGUUGGAUCUAUACGGAUCUACAAAGAACCAAAAUGAAAUACUGUUACUGAUGAAAAAAAGAUCUCUUUUCUUUUCUUUUCUU
ensembl:lncRNA